CAUCUUUUAGGUUUGUCCUUCAGAUGCUUGGAGGAGCUUACGGAUUUGAUGUCAGAGAGCGCAGAAGCCAGUUUCACUGUUGCCCUUGAGCAGAAGUGGUUUGAUUGUAUUUUUACCAUUUUAAACAAAAGCAACUGUUUAUACAAACAUACCAAAAUCCUGCCUGGAUUGCCUUAGUUUGGAAAUUUGCCGGCUUUCAUCUGCUGCAUCGCUCUGUGGGCAAAGGAUAACCGUGCUGGGAACAGACCCAGGCCUGAGUACCAGAUUCUCUUGGGGAAGUAACUCCACAGCCUGAAAGACGUCUGGAGGGGGGGACCCCACCCUUGGGAGCCUGGAGAAGGAGAGCCAGCCCACUCCGGAAGGCCACAGGGAAAGCAUGACUGAGGUGGAGCCCGUGUUGGACUUUGCAUCCUCUGGGAGGACUGGCCGAAGGAACGCCCUGCCUGACAUCCUGGGCUCACCGGCCGGUGUCAGCCCUUCUGACCUCCCUCUCAAACUAGCAGAAAUGUCUCUAAAUGCAGACAGAUCCCAAGAAAUGCAGUCCCCAACCACAGAGGUGCCCCCUCAGCAGCCCCAAAGCCCAGAGCUGAAGGACACAUCUUAACACUUCCCAUGGGCGCAUUUCUGACCAGCAGGGAAAGAGGAGACUGCCGAGCAUCAACCAAGCUUUACUGGUGUGGCCUGGAGUUUGCUGGGUUUUCCUUGGUGCUAUGCAGCAAGAACAUCUUGUGUUCCUUGGAAGAGGGGAGCAGAGGAGGGACAUGGAGCAGCCAAAGGGGAAUAAGCCCCUCAAGUCUGGUGCAGCUGGGACAAAUCCCUGCAGGGAACCAUUUCUUCUGUGGUGUUUAAGGGAACAAACAAAGGGACCAAGGGCUUUUGUUCUGGGGGAUAUUUUCUUGUCUUCACACCUGCACAGUCAAGCAGCUCAGAGGCAGCCUUGCCCUAGGAAUUGCUGAGAGGAGCAGGGGAGUAGCUAUUUUUAUGUGAGGGCACUGUCCACUGUGACAUUUUGGGAGCAAUUUCUUUGUUCUUUCUCUCAUGAUCCAGUAUCCUUCUUCAGGCCUCUUGACAAGAUUUGGGGAAAUGGUCCAGAGAGGGGAACACAGUGCGGGCUCCACUCUGUGUCCCAAUGGAGAAGCCCUUCUCUAAGAAGCAGGAGUCGGGGACCGUUCUUGGGCAUGGUCCCACUGAUCCAGGGACCCACUGUAACCCUUGCCAUGUGUGUGCGUGUAUGUGGGGGGGGGGGGAAGGGGGUUAGAUAAAUGCCCUGCCCUGGACUCCAUUUUUUGCAGUUUUCUAGCUUAAGGGGAUAAAGCUUGGCAGUGUCACCUCAGUCUCCCAACAGCCAGCCAACCAGUCUGGGCAGACCACCGGUGCCAGUGCACCGAGCUUGUUGGUGAGGUGGCCUCAGCCAUACCCCCUCCCCACUUCUGUCCCAGGCCUGGCACAGACUCCCAACCCUCCUGGGUUCCUGUUAGAGUCCAGGCAAGGGGAACACUGUGCAAACCUACUUCCUUCACUGCUGGCCCUGAGAAGCAGACUCUGCUCUGUAGCCACAGCAUUUGCUCUGUAACCAGUGAAGGCAGGAACAAGAGGAAGGGACCGCUGGGCUCUGCAGUGCAUGGCAGAGGCACUGACCAAUACUGUAGUGAACUCUGAGUGGAGGGAGGGUGACCUGACUUCAGAGGUAGGCAACUGGGUCAGCAUAACAUCCAUGAGCUCAGAGCCGAGGACUGUGCUUCCUAAACACAGGCUUCCAGGACCUGGCCACAUGCUGCCCUCUGCAGAACAGUUGAUGUAUUACACAGGGCUCACCUCGCUCACCUGUUCCCAUCCCGUGUGGAGCAAGCUUGCCCUGGCUGAUCUGCAGGUGGCACCAGGUGGUACCGAAGUCUGGGCAGGGACUGAAUACCUGCUUUCCAUCAAAGGCACAGGAUCUCCCGCCGCACCCAGUCCUCCUGCCUGGCUCCCAGAGGAGAAGCUGUUGGGCUGUGAUCUCACUGCAGAGCAUGAGGUGGGGCUCAGGGCUGGUAGGGUGCAACAGGCACAGGAGGGAGCUCUGGUGCAGAGAAACCUGAUGACCUGCUUGCCCCUUAGCAUGUGUUUGCAGUGUGAGAAGGCCUGAGAGCCCCAGAUAUGGAGCAGGGCCCCAGUAGGUAGGACACUGCCCAAACACAGAGCACAGACCAGGGCCCAGCUGACAAGACGAUGCACAGCUUCCCGGUCUGCAAGGGAGCUCAUACUGAGCUCCUACAGAGCAGCUUCUGGCUUUUCCCCACCAUUCACCUGGCAGCCAGGACCAAGCUGAUGAGCAUGACAAACGGUUGUGGGAUACCUGGCUAAACAGAAAUGAGCACUAAGAACCAAGCAGAACUCACUGCCACUGGCCUUGUUUCCAGUACUGGGUGUGUAGAGACACCAGGAGAACAGCCCUAGUCGUGGGACAAUCCUGCAAAGAAUCUCUGUCUUUAAUGAAUAAUAGAGUGGGGAAUGAGUUAGCCUGGAGUUAGGCCUUCCCCUCCCUUGCCAUUUCUCCCUCUGGGCACCCCAGCUUCUCAUCAGUGAGUAUUCCCUUUGACAAGGCUGCCAGCUACCCCAUAGGGAGCCCACCCCCUCCCUGCUGCACUGCUAAGAUGUUCAGAUUUCAAAAGCCCAUGCUGGUUUUGUCCCCCAUCCCCCAAGGUCGAACAGUACCAUAUUUCUGGCUUUCCACCUUCUACCAGUCCUAAGGGCAGGUAGCCUAUGGCUGCCUGUCCUGGCCCUGCUAAUCUGAGUUUUUGGUGAUUCUCCAGGUUCCCACAUGCAGUUAGGGGCUGUGCGGUAAGUGUAUCUAUCCCAUGUCAUUAACUUGGUAACUCAUCCUAAAAUUCUUUUUCCUGCCUGGUUUUUCCGGGGUGAUGCUUCCUGGCCUGGUUCUGGGCAGCUCCUGCCUUGCAGGAAUUGAGCCUUGAAGUGUUCAGCUGUGCUGCUGUUGGAUCAGGAUGAAUCUCAGCGCUACAGCAGGUCACGGUCAUCAAUGCUACAGGUGCCUCUGUUGAACUGGCCAAGGAAUAUAAAACCCAAAGAAUGAAAUACUUCCAUAGGCACCAAACAUCCAUUGUGCUACACAGAGAUAACAACCCUCUGUCAUUCUCCAGCUCCUUCUACCUGGCAAUUUCAGUCAUUUAUAAAAUGAUUGCAUAUACCCACAAAUCUCACUCUGGUUAUAAACAUGUCACUGGUCCAAAGUGCUGAUUAUAUUCAGGAUUGGAUAAGUAUUUAAAAAAUACAGACCCACUGAGCAACCCCUGAAGGCUCAACAUGGAUUUUAUACAUUAAUGUCUCACAGCCAUACACCCCAUGCUGUUAACCAAUCCGGGCUCUCAGGUUUCUAGAGGUAUAAAGCACUUCUUUCUAUCUGGGAAAGAUCAUUGUACCCAGUCUUUUACAAUCGUACCAUUCAAUUACCAUUUUGCCUACCUCCCCCACCCUACCCUUCUUAAUUUCCAUUGCGAUUUUUGGUAGCUGCCAUUUCAAGAACUACCUGAUCUACAAUGUGAUAUUUCCUGCCAUUGUUAGAGGGGGGCACCUAGAAUCACAGACUGCAAAAGGGACAAAGCAUCAGUUUCAAACUUGAAAUACCAGCCACUAAAAUCAUAUUUCAUUGGCCAUUCCACAAGUGCUUUGUCAGCGGGACCAAGCCAAAUGUUUUCAGAACUAAUCAGUCUUUCCCAAGCACAUCCCAGGUUCAGAGCAAGCAAUUGUGUCUCUGCCCUCCCUCCUGGGCUGUUAAACUUGUAAAACAUCUGUCUGCCAGGAUUGUGCUGCAAUGAGACAACAAGGGGAAACUUGGGUAUAUCUGGAAUAAAUCAACUGCCAGGAAUGGCAAAGUUAUAGUUUUACACAAGUGUCACUGAAACCAGGCUCUGGUCUCACCGUCUAAAUAAUUCCUGAACAAGGAUACUGGAUUUAGCAUCAUUCUACUGUGUAAACAAGCAGUACCCUGGAUUUAAUGUCUGUACAAUGUAGCUGUGUGUGUGUUGGUGCGGGUCCACGUUGGCCGUGUAUAGUGUGUUCCUGCUGCUUCCUUGGGAUUCUGAACUGAGCACAGAACGUGUCUGGAGGCCAUGGUCUGGGGUGGAUAUAGGAACCAGAAACUUGUGGCUACUGAUUUGAUCUGACAGUGCUAGGAGGAAGAAGAGCAGUUCCAAAAGGAAGCUCCCCCCCUCUCUGACGAUAUGUGUCCUUGAACAUCAAACUGUCAAUCUCAUUCAUUUUGGCUGGGGUAUAGUUGGGCAUCAGGAGAGGGCUGGGGUGGGGAGAGAAAACAGUGUAGUUAUUUAAAGAGAUCACUGCGUGUCUGGGAGAGUCCUGAGCUGCUCACACCAGGGGACUUGUUUGAGUAAUAAAUUGUGAGUAUUUUCCUGUGA